GGAUUAUGGCUCAGCGGUAGAGCGCUCACCUCGCAGGUGCAAGGCCUUGGGUUCGAUCCUCAGCACCA
rnacentral:tRNA from 1 species